CCUACGGGCGGCAGCAGUGGGGAAUAUUGGACAAUGGGCGAAAGCCUGAUCCAGCCAUGCCGCGUGUGUGAAGAAGGCCUUCGGGUUGUAAAGCACUUUCAGUGGGGAAGAAAGCCUUGGGGCUAAUACCCUCGAGGAAGGACAUCACCCACAGAAGAAGCACCGGCUAACUCCGUGCCAGCAGCCGCGGUAAUACGGAGGGUGCGAGCGUUAAUCGGAAUUACUGGGCGUAAAGCGCGCGUAGGCGGUCUGAUAAGCCGGUUGGGAAAGCCCCGGGCUCAACCUGGGAACGGCAUCCGGAACUGUCAGGCUAGAGUGCAGGAGAGGAAGGUAGAAUUCCCGGUGUAGCGGUGAAAUGCGUAGAGAUCGGGAGGAAUACCAGUGGCGAAGGCGGCCUUCUGGACUGACACUGACGCUGAGGUGCGAAAGCGUGGGUAGCAAACAGGAUUAGAUACCCCGGUAGUC
rnacentral:rRNA from 1 species